AUUGGCCGAUGGUUUGCAGAACACGUUUCCACGGAACAAGGAAAUUUACACCCCAUGAACGAGCAGAGAACAUUCAGUGUGGUGGCCAGAGAGAUUUUGACUCAGUUUCAGGUGUGGCAGAAGGCCUGCUAUAGCAGGAACAUUGAGUGGGGCCCGAUUACAGCGAAGGUUAAGUCCUCUUCAUUUGUUCCGUCUGAUGAAAUUAUCCAUUUUGAUUACCUGAAAUGAAGAUAAAGACACGUUUUCAGAGUGUAUUGUGCUUUACUGUUACACAGAUCAUUUCUGCAUUGCCACAGUUGUAUGGACGUGAGGCAGAGGUGAUCAUACGAUGUACUAAAAUGCUACACAACCGCAGGGAUUACCUUCGAAGGAGAGCAAAGACUCAUAUUACUGUCCUUAAAAAUGGAGAAAGCCCCUGUAUCUCUAAGUGCACUCAGUGUUGUGACAAGUAUCACUGCCCAUUUUGUGAGACCUGGGUCUACAAGCCAAGAGAGUUAUGGAGCGUUGUUAACCACGUCCAGAAUCAUCUGAAGUUGGCUGUCCAGCAGGAUGGUGUGUAUAGUGCUUCCAAAUUCAUUAAAAUGUUAUUUUGUCAAGGCAUAUUAAUUCACUCUUGAUUUACUUUUUUCAGAUUUCGCUAUUGUCAAGUGUAACUUAAAGUGCAGAGAAUAUGCCCAUUUUCACUGCUGCUACUGUUCUGCCACUGUUCUACGAAGAGGCCAGUUAAAAUGUCAUCUCACAAAAUGCAAGCAGAAGUUCAAUGCAGAAGAGGAAUUUGAAGGAGCAUGCUCAUUUGAGGAAAGUCCUGAACAUGAGUAGUUUAUUUAUUUCUGAUACUGUUGAUUCACUAGUUCAUAUAUUUAUUUCCCUGUUAGCUACAGGUAACACUCACAAUUGUAGUAUUUGGUGGAUUAUGAAACUAUGUUGUGGAAAUAAACAUUUACUAAGAAUGUAUCUGCUUCUUCUUUCGGAACU
rnacentral:lncRNA from 1 species